rnacentral:rRNA from 1 species
UGAGACAGUUCGGUCCCUAUCCGGCGUGGGCGAAGGAUAUUUGAGAGGAGCUGUCCUUAGUACGAGAGGACCGGGAUGGACGGACCGCUGGUGUACCUGUUGAGCUGCCAGGCUCAUGGCAGGGUAGCCAAGUCCGGAAGGGAUAAACGCUGAAGGCAUCUAAGCGUGAAGCCCCCCUCAAGAUGAGAUAUCCCAUCCGAAAGGAGUAAGACCCCUUGAAGACGACGAGGUAGAUAGGGCAGAGGUGGAAGUACAGUAAUGUAUGGAGCUGACUGUUACUAAUCGGUCGAGGGUUUGACCUG